rnacentral:rRNA from 1 species
GAUGAAGCCUUUCGGGGUGGAUUAGUGGCGAACGGGUGAGUAACACGUGGGCAAUCUGCCCUUCACUCUGGGACAAGCCCUGGAAACGGGGUCUAAUACCGGAUAACACUCUGUCCCGCAUGGGACGGGGUUGAAAGCUCCGGCGGUGAAGGAUGAGCCCGCGGCCUAUCAGCUUGUUGGUGGGGUAAUGGCCUACCAAGGCGACGACGGGUAGCCGGCCUGAGAGGGCGACCGGCCACACUGGGACUGAGACACGGCCCAGACUCCUACGGGAGGCAGCAGUGGGGAAUAUUGCACAAUGGGCGAAAGCCUGAUGCAGCGACGCCGCGUGAGGGAUGACGGCCUUCGGGUUGUAAACCUCUUUCAGCAGGGAAGAAGCGAAAGUGACGGUACCUGCAGAAGAAGCGCCGGCUAACUACGUGCCAGCAGCCGCGGUAAUACGUAGGGCGCAAGCGUUGUCCGGAAUUAUUGGGCGUAAAGAGCUCGUAGGCGGCUUGUCACGUCGGAUGUGAAAGCCCGGGGCUUAACCCCGGGUCUGCAUUCGAUACGGGCUAGCUAGAGUGUGGUAGGGGAGAUCGGAAUUCCUGGUGUAGCGGUGAAAUGCGCAGAUAUCAGGAGGAACACCGGUGGCGAAGGCGGAUCUCUGGGCCAUUACUGACGCUGAGGAGCGAAAGCGUGGGGAGCGAACAGGAUUAGAUACCCUGGUAGUCCACGCCGUAAACGUUGGGAACUAGGUGUUGGC